rnacentral:rRNA from 1 species
CCUACGGGCGGCAGCAGUGAGGAAUAUUGGUCAAUGGACGUAAGUCUGAACCAGCCAAGUCGCGUGAAGGAUGAAGGCUCUAUGGAUUGUAAACUUCUUUUAUAUGGGAAUAAAGCUUGGCACGCAUACCCUUUUGUAUGUACCUUAUGAAUAAGGAUCGGCUAACUCCGUGCCAGCAGCCGCGGUAAUACGGAGGAUCCGAGCGUUAUCCGGAUUUAUUGGGUUUAAAGGGAGCGUAGGCGGCUUUUUAAGUCAGUGGUGAAAGUUUGUGGCUCAACCCUAAAAUUGCAGUUGAAACUGGAAGGCUUGAGUAUAUUUGAGGUAGGCGGAAUGCGUGGUGUAGCGGUGAAAUGCUUAGAUAUCACGAAGAACCCCGAUUGCGAAGGCAGCCUACUAAGCUAUGACUGACACUGAUGCACGAAAGCGUGGGGAUCAAACAGGAUUAGAUACCCGUGUAGUC